rnacentral:rRNA from 1 species
UACGAAGGGGGCUAGCGUUGCUCGGAAUCACUGGGCGUAAAGCGCACGUAGGCGGCUUUUUAAGUCAGAGGUGAAAUCCUGGAGCUCAACUCCAGAACUGCCUUUGAUACUGAGAGGCUUGAGUCCGGGAGAGGUGAGUGGAACUGCGAGUGUAGAGGUGAAAUUCGUAGAUAUUCGCAAGAACACCAGUGGCGAAGGCGGCU